rnacentral:misc_RNA from 1 species
GAUGAAGAACGUAGCGAAAUGCGAUACUUGGUGUGAAUUGCAGAAUCCCGUGAACCAUCGAGUCUUUGAACGCAAGUUGCGCCCGAAGCGAUUAGGCCGAGGGCACGCCUGCCUGGGCGUCACACGUCGUUGCCCCCCCAUCUACUCCUUCGGGAUUGCGGGGGGCGGAUGAUGGCCUCCCGUGCGCCUCGUCGCGCGGUUGGCAUAAAUGCCAAGUCCUCGGCGACGCACGCCACGACAAUCGGUGGUUGCGAAACCUCGGUUGCCCGUCGUGUGCGGUCGUCGCGCAUCGAGGGCGCGAAAAAAUUGCCGGGCUCCGGCUCGGCUUUCAACGCGACCCCAGGUCAGGCGGGGUUACCCGCUGAAUUUAAGCAUAUCAAUAAGCGGAGGA